rnacentral:rRNA from 1 species
GAUCCUGGCUCAGGAUGAACGCUAGCUACAGGCUUAACACAUGCAAGUCGAGGGGAAACGACAUCGAAAGCUUGCUUUUGAUUGGCGUCGACCGGCGCACGGGUGAGUAACGCGUAGUCCAACCUGCCCACCACUUGGGGGAUAACCUUGCGAAAGUAAGACUAAUACCCAAUGAUAUCUCUAGAAGACAUCUGAAAGAAAUUAAAGAUUCAUCGGUGAUGGAUGGGGAUGCGUCUGAUUAG